ensembl:misc_RNA
CCCCCAGGGUGUCACUUGGCCUGUCUAAAUAUUAGCAUAACAUAAAUGGCAUCAGAACGUGAAGGGCAGGGGCCACUGGUAGGAUUCUGCCAGGAGAGCCACUUG